rnacentral:rRNA from 1 species
UGUUAAGUAUCUUGAGAAAUAUGGCAGAUUAAAAGUCAGGCUUUCCGGAGAUACUGUGGGGAUUGAGGCCGGGAGAGGUAGAGGUAAUUUAGGGGUAGGGGGGAAAUCUUGUAAUCCUUGAAGGACCCCCAGUGGGGAAGGGGUUUCACCAGAACGGAUCGACGGCAAGGGACGAAAGCCAGGGGCGGAACCGGAUUAGUACCCGGGUAGUCCAGGGUUAAACGAUACUCGCUAGGUUCGGGCAUCGUGAGACGGUGGUCGGUGCCGUAGGGAAGCCGUGAAGCGAGCCACUUGGGAAGUACGUCCGCAAGGAUGAAACUUAAAGGAAUUGGCGGGGGAGCACCACAACGGGUGGAGCGUGCGGUUCAAUUGGAUUCAACGCCG